rnacentral:rRNA from 1 species
UACGGAGGGUGCAAGCGUUAUUCGGAAUUACUGGGCGUAAAGAGCGCGUAGGCGGCUUUGCAAGUCGGAUGUGAAAGCCCUGGGCUUAACCUGGGAAUUGCAUUCGAUACUGCUUAGCUAGAGUAUGGUAGAGGGAAGUGGAAUUUCCGGUGUAGCGGUGAAAUGCGUAGAUAUCGGAAGGAACACCAGUGGCGAAGGCGACUUCCUGGGCCAAUACUGACGCUGAGGCGCGAAAGCGUGGGGAGCAAACAGG